rnacentral:rRNA from 1 species
GGUGAACGCUGGCGGCGUGCCUAAUACAUGCAAGUCGAGCGAACGGACGAGAAGCUUGCUUUUCUGAUGUUAGCGGCGGACGGGUGAGUAACACGUGGAUAACCUACCUAUAAGACUGGGAUAACUUCGGGAAACCGGAGCUAAUACCGGAUAAUAUUUUGAACCGCAUGGUUCAAAAGUGAAAGACGGUCUUGCUGUCACUUAUAGAUGGAUCCGCGCUGCAUUAGCUAGUUGGUAAGGUAACGGCUUACCAAGGCAACGAUGCAUAGCCGACCUGAGAGGGUGAUCGGCCACACUGGAACUGAGACACGGUCCAGACUCCUACGGGAGGCAGCAGUAGGGAAUCUUCCGCAAUGGGCGAAAGCCUGACGGAGCAACGCCGCGUGAGUGAUGAAGGUCUUCGGAUCGUAAAACUCUGUUAUUAGGGAAGAACAUAUGUGUAAGUAACUGUGCACAUCUUGACGGUACCUAAUCAGAAAGCCACGGCUAACUACGUG